AGUGAACGCUGGCGGUAGGCCUAACACAUGCAAGUCGAACGGCAGCACAGUAAGAGCUUGCUCUUACGGGUGGCGAGUGGCGGACGGGUGAGGAAUACAUCGGAAUCUACUUUUUCGUGGGGGAUAACGUAGGGAAACUUACGCUAAUACCGCAUACGACCUACGGGUGAAAGCAGGUGAUCUUCUGACCUUGCGCGAUUGAAUGAGCCGAUGUCGGAUUAGCUAGUUGGCGGGGUAAAGGCCCACCAAGGCGACGAUCCGUAGCUGGUCUGAGAGGAUGAUCAGCCACACUGGAACUGAGACACGGUCCAGACGCCUACGGGAGGCAGCAGUGGGGAAUAUUGGACAAUGGGCGCAAGCCUGAUCCAGCCAUACCGCGUAGGUGAAGAAGGCCUUCGGGUUGUAAAGCCCUUUUGUUGGGAAAGAAAAGCAGCAGGUUAAGACCCCGCUGUUCUGACGGUACCCAAAGAAUAAGCACCGGCUAACUUCGU
rnacentral:rRNA from 1 species